UCGACACGUUUGGACUUCCGUCUCUUUCCCAGCUGAUAUUGGAUAGCAUGCUGGCAAGAAAUGGCAGUCCAGAUGUGUACA
ncrna:Caenorhabditis remanei microRNA crm-mir-74a precursor